AACGAACGCUGGCGGCAUGCCUAACACAUGCAAGUCGAACGAGACCUUCGGGUCUAGUUGCGCACGGGUGCGUAACGCGUGGGAACCUGCCCUUAGGUUCGGAAUAACUCCCCGAAAGGUGUGCUAAUACCGGAUAAUGUCUUCGGACCAAAGAUUUAUGGCCUUUGGAUGGGCCCGCGUUGGAUUAGCUAGUUGGUAGGGUAAAAGCCUACCAAGGCGAGGAUCCAUAGCUGGUCGGAGAGGAUGAUCAGCCACACUGGGACUGAGACACGGCCCAGAACCCUACGGGAGGCAGCAGUGGGGAAUAUUGGACAAUGGGCGAAAGCCUGAUACAGCAAUGCCGCGUGAGUGAUGAAGGCCUUAGGGUUGCAAAGCUCUUUUACCCGGGAUGAUAAUGACAGUACCGGGAGAAUAAGCUCCGGCUAACUCCGUG
rnacentral:rRNA from 1 species